UUUCGGGUCCAGGGCUCCCAGGGAUUGGUCAACCCUUACCACGUGAGAGUUAAUUUUGUAGAGAACAAAGUUGACGCACAUUAUCUUACAGCUAAACGCCAUUUUAAAAAUGACGCUCACUUCCAUAGCUUUUACGUUAAUAAAGCAUUCAGCUACUUCGCCGCUACGAGCUACGAUCCGCCGCGCCAUCUGCAAGGACAUCUGUGUUAUCGCGUUUAUUGUUUACGUCGUGGGUGGUCAUGUUGGUCGCACGAAGCAGAAACGAGAAAGUAUAGUGAACGACAUGUUCGUGGCUGUUGUGUCAAUUAUUCGAGAGACCUACAUAUGCUUGGUGUAGUUUUGGUGUUGGGGGAUGCAAAAAUCAUGUUCGUUCACCAUCGGCGGCGGGAGUUUUCUACCACAAGAUUCAACAGGAGAGUGCGCGAAAACGAAUGUGGUUCGAAACACACGGUUAUUAGAUGCAGCAGUCGUGUCGUGUGUGCUGAGCUCAUUUUGCUGCCGAUGACUACGAAUAUCCCGUAGAAGGCGAAUUGCGAAGACGUAACGAAGCACACUGAUGCUCCGUACCCAGUGAUUGUGGUUCACCGAGGUGACGAGUUCAACACAACGUCUUAGGGGCCUUCCAGUGUUGAAGUAGCGCAAGACUGCUUCGUGUGUGUGUGAUCCGGGCACUCAAGUUGACAUGACAGAAAUAGCUGAAAGCAGGUAUGCAAAAUCCACAGAUGGAAGCACUAGAUUUGUUACGUAUUGCAGACUUUGUGACAUUUUUUGGAGUCUUUGGACAGGUGCAGAACAUUAGUAUGACGUCAACAAUAGGAGAAGAAACCGAUGAGUACUACUAGCUUGUUUGAAGGGUACAAGAAUACUUCCUGUUGAGGUGUAGUUAUGACUUUAUGACUAAGGAACGCUAAUUAAUUUUCUAGAGAUGCAUCUUCUACACUUGAAUGCCCAAUGAAACAGCGAACGUUCAUUGUCUUUGAAGCCCCACUACUGGAAUUGUUCAAUGUGUGUCAGAGCUGUAGUGAGUCAUGCAAGGUUACCACAUCAUAUUGGUCCUAAAUUUGCAGAGUUCCCCUAUCUCGGACGCAACUGUCAUUUCUCUUUAUUACUCUUCCGAUCCUACCUUCUCAGAGAUUAGUGUGGUUCAUCAUACACUGCAUGGGCACUGCCUUUCUCUACUCAUGCUUUCGGUUUCUUGUUCUGUUGAAUAAAUCUUCACUUGAGUUUGCAGCCAUCACCCUGUCUACUGUGUUUGCCCCUCAUCUAUAUUGAUGUGCUAUACCGGUAUAGCACAUCAACAUGCCAACAACCUACCAACAACUACCAAACAACCUUGCCUAGACCUACUUUUGGAUGGAAACUACACGAUGUGGUAACAUCCACGUAUAUAAAGUUUUAGUCGACGGAGAUUUGCUGUUUUUGUACAGCCUUCAUUGUACAUUUCUUUUAGCAUGCCUGAAGAAAUGUUCUCAUCUUCAUCAAGAUGACAGGUCAUUGUUUGAUCUGCAGCAUUAUUGUUCCUGUAAUCUUUUCACCAACAGAGAAUACAAAAGUAAACAAAUGGUUUUACAACUCUAUCAAGUACGUCAAAACAUCAGAGGGCAGGGAGUCCUACUCUGUUUCCUAAAUCCCUGGACAGUAAAAAAGAAAGAUAUAGUUUGAGUUGUGACAAAACGUUGCUUCUGCUCUUAUAUCACAUUUCAAUCAAAUGUUACGAUGCAUUUGUAGUGUACACUGAAGCCAGUUUCAAUUUGCAGGGCUGUCAAAAGUACUUUACAAAAGCCAUUUUGGAGUACUAUGCACACCAAUGGUGCAUGGUUAACUUUGAACCCAGAUCAAGGGUUAAUAAUAAUUGAAGUCAGCCCUCAAGUCCUUCUUUACAAAUGUUAGUUGGUGACGUGAUAUGAAUCAGUUAGAAGUACUCCGUUUAGCAAAACAGGGUUAAUUAAGUGCUAAAUCCCAACCUUAGUUCAAAUAUUAAUUGACAUUUGGAAACGACGUGGUCACUAAGAAGUAUACUAAAAGGUUAUGAACACAGUUCAGCUGAAUGACACUUAUGAAAAUUAUCUUACUUACUCCUCACAUAUACAAUUGAGACAUGAGUAUAACCUACAAAUACAUCUAUGCCCACAGGUUACUUAACCCUCCACGAACAAACUAGGAAUUAUAAUAUGCUGUGACAGCAAAGAAAAAGCAAUGAGAACAACUUGCAGCAAACAAGAAAUGAAAAUAUGCUGACAACAUUUCUACAGGUCAGCGCACUGAUGGGAAAGCAUCCCUAUAGCAUGCAUGCAUGACGCAGAUCGCGAUUCAGUGGAGUACUUUCUAUUGUAUUUUCUCGGAGCACCCCAUAUCCUUCUUGUGAAUGGCCGACAGGUGGUAUAACGGAAUUUCCUGCAGAAAUAAGGGUUUUCCGUCCAGUUUGCCGUUCAAGUAGCGCGCAAAGACCACACGAUGCUGCCGUGUAUGUUGCCAUGCUCUUCGGUUUCUCGGAUGUAUGUAAAAGACACUUGCAGUACUUCGGUGUCAAGGCACAGUAUCUCGAAAAAUUCGUUAGUUCUGAAGCAAUCGUCUGUCUGCUUUUCACACGCAUUCUCUACCUCUCAGCAGCAAAAACCGUAGUAUCCAUCCGUAGUAUCCGUCGGUUUGCAUUUCACACAUGAACACCUGCACGACGAAAAAACAUCGCUUGUUUCGGCUUACACAAGUGCUUCUCCAUGAUACAUGGAAAUUUCACAAAGCAGUCCAUGUUCACGGCACGGUGAGCUACUGCUGAGGACGAAUGUGACUCAAAUUAAUCUCUGGACGAGGAAUCUUCUGCUGCGAGGAACACACUUUCCAGCACGCUAACGCACGAACAACAGUUCUGUGUGAGCGACAGUUCUCGAAUGCAGAAUUCCAGCGCACUCAUGUUCAAGAGGCUCGACAUUCUCGACGUAGAAAGCAGUCACAAAUGCCCACUGCGAUUUUCGUUUUCGACGGAUUAGCGCCCGGAAGUGCGCGUAUUACACGCGUCCUCGACAGAUGGCGCGGGGUCAUGCAAUUGUUGACAGACUGCUCGGUUUCCUACUAGGUGCCUCGACAUGCAAUUAUGGAAAAUUCGAUUACAGAAAAACUACAGCGAUUUCAGCGGAGUUCUUUGAUAUUUGAACUUUUGAAGGUUCAAGCUUUUCGCUGAACAUAAAGUUUCGAUAGGUUUAUAUUCACUUUUCGGUCCCUUUAAAUAGAUAAUUUCUUCAACAGCACUCGGGCGUCUGAACGAUGCAAUGAACCACAGAUCCCAAAGUGUCACAGCGUUUAAUUGUUCAGUUACAUGGACAAAAUUACUGUUUGGUUGCACGGUCUCCUAAUGACGUACCACUGGAUGUCAAGCGCAAGAAUUAGCAGUUUUGUGCACUUUUCCCUACCACACGAUCGAAAUAUGAUCGAGAGCGUAAAGGUGUUGGUAAACCUGUGGAGUUGUGGCGACCCAUUGAUACUGGUGACUGGCUACAAUAUGUAAGCGUGGUAGCGCACGCCAUCCCGAGCGUUGAAGGCUGAGGAGCAAAAUCUUACGUGCGCUAGCGGAGACAGCAGCCUCAUUCUCACAUUUGGUCUUCAUUGGUCCGAUCUUCCAGGCAACCUGUUUGCCUGUAUAUCAUUCUGUGCGCUGCUGUCAGCUUGCAGCUUUACACACUCAUAUCGACGCAAACAAAAUUACGCAUCUAUGCAAUAUAAAUCGGGGCGAACUGUCACAACACCUGCAGGUGGAAAUUGCUGGAUGUCAUUGUCCUUAACAUUCGAGGACGUUACCUUCAUUACUUCAAGAUCCAUAUCCGGAAAUAUCACCAUACACGCAGUCCGCCCUCCACGAACUGUGGUAUAUACACCUGUCAUAUAGGGGCGCUCUCCCGUUACCAUUGAACAUGCGCCUAGCGACGCCAAACGCGUAACGCGCUAACCUUUCAGGGAGCAUUGGAUCCAAUACUGUUUGAAAAAUUGAUAUGUUUCACACUUGGUGGCGCUAAGCGCAUAUUGAACGGCCAUUUGUUGCAAUGCUCAUUUUAGAGUGCCCGCGUGACAGCGGGUAGAUUCUGAAAUGUGCACUCUAAAAACGGAACUUGACCGGAUGACACGCUUCCCCUCCAACCAUUAUUCAGAAUGAUAUCUUUUUCUUCUUCAGUAUGUUGGCAAUUGAAAAUGUACGCCCUUAUGUAUCACGUAAUGUUUUAUCCAAGUUGAUCCAAAAAGGGGUACAACAAAGAAAAACUUUACUUUUGAAUGGGGAGUUUCAUCGCAAUGGGAUAUACUCUACCCCAACGCUGGUGGUGAGGUGGGGAAUGAAAUAAUGAGCCCCUUCAUAAUAACGAUCGAAGUCCUAUACUGUCCAAAAAUGUCAAAAAACGUCCAAAUGUCCCAAAGAAAUGUCCAAAAGCGUUGGUGGGCUGGAUUUGGCCAGGCACCAGGCAAUUUUGAGAGAGGGAGCGGGCGAGAGUCCAGCUGAUAGAGAGACCCGGGAGUAGGAAGGAAAGGAAAGAUAACGAUAUUAUUCUGAAUGUCGGUUGGUUCACUUUUAGAAUGUACGACUCGGUCAAUCCUUGGCGACAUGCUGCGGAAGAGGAUGUUUCUUCUCUCGGCAUUUGUUUAUCCAAUGCUAGUUUCCUUUGAUUUUCAUCAUCCCCAGGCAGUUUUGAGCCAUGUAACAUGACCACAGUCGCUGCUGAGUGAUGACAUCAUUAAGAGUUUGAAUAU